GUACCUGGAGGGGAAGGACCAGCUCGGGGGCUGGUUCCAGUCUUCGUUACUGACAAGUGUGGCCACAAGGUCAAAAGCACCUUUCAGGUUCUUACAUCGGCAACUAAGUCUCCAGUAGUCCCAGGAAUUGAAGGCCAAGAAUAAUGGGACCACAGCAAAGAGCCUCCCUACGGAGCUGACAUCCUGCGCUGGUGGAUAGCGGAAUCCAACGUCUUCACGGAGGUGACCAUUGGCCCCU
rnacentral:lncRNA from 1 species